rnacentral:rRNA from 1 species
CUGGCGGCGUGCCUAAUACAUGCAAGUCGAGCGGUAACAGGGCUUCACGUUCCUUGACACACCUAGCGCUAUAUCGUAGGUGGUUAGAUCGAGGGAACAGUGAAGCUGCUGACGAGCGGCGGACGGCUGAGUAACGCGUGGGAACGGACCCCAAAGUGAGGGAUAACUAGUCGAAAGAUUAGCUAAUACCGCAUGUGAUCUUCGGAUUAAAGCUUUUGCGCUUUGGGACUGGCCUGCGUACGAUUAGAUAGUUGGUGAGGUAAUGGCUCACCAAGUCGACGAUCGUUAGAUGGUUUGAGAAGAUGAUCAUCCAGACUGGGACUGAGACACGGCCCAGACUCCUACGGGAGGCAGCAGUAGGGAAUCUUUCACAAUGGGCGAAAGCCUGAUGGAAGCAACGCCGCGUGCAGGAUGACGGCCUUCGGGUUGUAAACUGCUUUUAUAAGCGAGAAAUAUGAUGGUAACUUAUGAAUAAGGACCGGCUAACUACGUGCCAGCCGCAGC